GACCCACUAGUCAAGAGGUUAAGACGUAAUGCUUUCACCAUUAGAUCUUGGGUUCAAUUCCCAAGUGGGUUA
rfam:Mycosphaerella eumusae strain CBS 114824 scaffold595, whole genome shotgun sequence.